rnacentral:lncRNA from 1 species
GAAGGAAUAACUUAAGAAGCAAGGUGCCUCCACCUUUGAGCAUACUCUAUAAAAGACUCAUUAGACUGUUUCUUGACCUUGGUAAUCUAGUACCGAUCAGGAGCCAUCUGAGAUUGGAAGCUGUACUGAGUGAGGAAGGCAUGAGCUAGUUUCUCCCAGCUAUUGAUCUUUGAGUUGUCUAAUCUGGUAUACCACGAUCAAGCUUCUCCAGUCAGACUCUUAUGGAAUAGCUGCAUUCUGAGCUUCUCGUCCUCUGCAUAAGAUCUAUGUUCUCCAAUGAACACCUUCAAAUGUGUAUAAGGAUCCCCUGACCCAUCAUACUUUUCAAAGUCAGGAGUAUUACACUUCUCUGGAUAAUGAACACUAGGGAAUAUACAAAGGUCAGCAUAUGAAACACUCAUGUGUGCUCAAAUUCCUUUGAUAGAACGGUUGGUUUCCUCCAUUUGAAUGUCUUUCUUCUUGAUAUCACCGAUUUCUGGAUCUACUUUAAUAUGGGUGUUUUCAGGAGUUUUAUUGGUCGUAUCCAACUGAAGUUCAGGAAUUUUUUUUAUCUGAACCUUGUGCUCCUCCUUGUGCAGAGGAUUCUGUAUGUACGGGUAUUUGCGAACCCUGAGUAGAUUGGUGUAGUUCUUUAAGCAGAACAACUAAAUUUGUAAUUUUCUUGCUUAAUCCGUCAAACUCUUAUCGAGAGACAUGAGCAGUAUUAGACUGGUCAGACGAAGACAUGAUUGGCUGUAGGCUCGUGGCCUUUUUGGAUUUUGAGCGGGUAACAGGCCUAAUUGUUUCCCUACAAAAACUUAUAUAGUUUUGUCUCAGGGAAUGUAUAAAUGUUUACAUGCUAUUAUAAUGUGUCCAUUUUAGGAAUAUUAUCCUGCAAAACAGGUGUCAUUUGAUAGCAUGUCAAGUCUUAAUAUGCAUG